rnacentral:rRNA from 1 species
CCCUUAGAUGUUCUGGGCCGCACGCGUGCUACACUGAGUGGAUCAGCGGGUCAGGUUGCGCGAAAGCGUUUCCUAAUCUUGAAAUCCGCUCGUGAUGGGGAUUGACGGUUGCAAUUUUCUGUCAUGAACGAGGAAUACCUUGUAAGCGCGGGUCAUCAUCCCGCGCUGAAUACGUCCCUGCCCUUUGUACACACCGCCCGUCGCUCCUACCGAUUGAGUGGUCCGGUGAGGCUUUGGGAUCUGAGCGGAAAGAGCGUUUCGCUCGUUCUGCCCGGAAAACUCAGUCGAACCUUAUCAUUUAGAGGAAGUAAAAGUCGUAACA